rnacentral:rRNA from 1 species
UUUUCCUACGGGAGGCAGCAGUGAGGAAUAUUGGUCAAUGGGCGGAAGCCUGAACCAGCCAAGUCGCGUGAGGGAAUAAGGCCCUACGGGUCGUAAACCUCUUUUGCCGGGGAGCAAGGGCGGGGACGUGUCCCGGCCCGGAGAGUACCCGGAGAAAAAGCAUCGGCUAACUCCGUGCCAGCAGCCGCGGUAAUACGGAGGAUGCGAGCGUUAUCCGGAUUUAUUGGGUUUAAAGGGUGCGUAGGCGGUUUGAUAAGUUAGAGGUGAAAUGUCGGGGCUCAACCCCGAAACUGCCUCUAAUACUG